UCCAAGUAGCAGGUAAAUCUAACCCUAACCCUAAUCCAAGUAGCAGAUAAAUCUAACCCUAACCUUAAUCCAAGUAGCAGGUAAAUCUAACCCUAACCUUAAUCCAAGUAGCAGGUAAAUCUAACCCUAACCUUAAUCCAAGUAGCAGGUAAAUCUAACCCUAACCUUAAUCCAAGUAGCAGGUAAAUCUAACCCUAACCUUAAUCCAAGUACCAGGUAAAUCUAACCCUAACCUUAAUCCAAGUACCAGGUAAAUCUAACCCUAACCUUAAUCCAAGUAGCAGGUAAAUCUAACCCUAACCUUAAUCCAAGUACCAGGUAAAUCUAACCCUAACCUUAAUCCAAGUAGCAGGUAAAUCUAACCCUAACCUUAAUCCAAGUAGCAGGUAAAUCUAACCCUAACCUUAAUCCAAGUAGCAGGUAAAUCUAACCCUAACCUUAAUCCAAGUAGCAGGUAAAUCUAACCCUAACCUUAAUCCAAGUAGCAGGUAAAUCUAACCCUAACCUUAAUCCAAGUAGCAGGUAAA